AUUGAACGCUGGCGGCAGGCCUAACACAUGCAAGUCGGGCGGGGUUUUCGGACCUAGCGGCGGACGGGUGAGUAAUGCGUAGGAAGCUACCCGAUAGAGGGGGAUACCAGUUGGAAACGACUGUUAAUACCGCAUAAUGUCUACGGACCAAAGUGUGGGACCUUCGGGCCACAUGCUAUCGGAUGCGCCUACGUGGGAUUAGCUAGUUGGUGGGGUAAUGGCUCACCAAGGCGACGAUCCCUAGCUGGUUUGAGAGGAUGAUCAGCCACACUGGAUCUGAGACACGGUCCAGACUCCUACGGGAGGCAGCAGUGGGGAAUAUUGGACAAUGGGCGCAAGCCUGAUCCAGCCAUGCCGCGUGUGUGAAGAAGGCCUUCGGGUUGUAAAGCACUUUCAGUAGGGAGGAAGGGUGUUGUGUUAAUAGCACAGCAUUUUGACGUUACCUACAGAAGAAGCACCGGCUAACUCUGUGCCAGCCGCCGCCGUAAAAC
rnacentral:rRNA from 1 species